AUGCCAGCCCCGCCGAUCGCCGUGCCCCCGCCGGUCGUCCCGGUCCCGACCCCUCCGACGACCGGAAGCAGCAGCGGCACCUGCUCGAUCAAUACACUGAAGCUGAAGGCGUGCGGCAACGUACUCAACCUGCUAAAGCUCAACCUCGGCGUGCCGACGAGCGAGGACUGCUGCCCACUGCUCGGCGGGCUCGCCGACCUCGACGCCGCAGUGUGCCUCUACACCGCCAUCAAGGCCAACGUUCUCGGCAUCAAGCUCAACGUCCCCGUCGACCUCGUGCUCCUCCUCAACCAGUGCGGCAAGACCUGCCCCGCUGACUUCACCUGCCCCAGCUGA
rnacentral:rRNA from 1 species